rnacentral:lncRNA from 10 species
CUUAGGAGUGGGAUUGCUGAAUUGCAAGAUAUAUAAGAAAGUGAUGGACUAUUGAAUAUUAACAUUGUAUCCUGCAACCUUACCAUAAUCACAUAUUACUUCCAGGAGUUUCCCACGUUUUUAUUAUCAUUCAGGUUACAAAUAUUUCACUCCCAUUGUGAUUACUUCAUUUUCUCAUAGUGCUUUUUAGGGUGGAAUAUAUAUUCUCCAAACAUUUGGUUAUAUUUUACUUAACUAUGUUACUGGGUUCCAAAUGAAUCUUACAAUGAUCUGGAAACAUUCACUGUAUGAUGUUGAUUCUUUAAAACUUGCUUUUCUUAAUCAGAAUAGUAUCUGUUUUGUUAAAUGCUCUAUGUACCUUUGCAAAAGAAUGCAUAUUCUGAAGUUAUUUCAUGUGUGAUUUUCUUUUAAAAAUAUAUCAAUUGAUGUUAAUCAACCAUGUUGUAUAAGACCCCUAUAAUCUUACUGAUAUUUUUAUCUGAUUGUUUUCUUACUCAGAGCAGUGAAUUAAUAUCCACAGAGAUUUUAUUUUUAUUUAUCCUGCUGUAUUAGUUUGUUCUCAUGCUGCUCUGAAGAAAUACCCAAGACUGGGUAGUUCAUAAAAGAAAGAGGUUUAAUUGACUCACAGUUCAGCAUGGCUGGGGAAGCCUAAGGAAACUUACAAUCAUUGCUGAAGGCAAAGGAGAAACAAGCACCUUCUUCACAGGGUGGCAGGAUGGAGUGAGGGCAAGCAGGGAAAAUGCCAGAUGCUUAUAAAACCAUCAGAUCUCAUGAGGCUCACUUACUAUCAUGAGAACAGCAUGGGGGAAACUGCCCCCCAUGAUUCAAUUACCCCCACCUGGUCCUACCCUUGACACAUGGGGAUUACAAUUCAAGGUGAGAUUUGGGUGGGGACACAGACUCAAACCAUAUCAUUGCAUCCCUGGCCACGCCCAAAUCUCAUGUACUCACAUUUCAAAACACAAUCAUGCUGUUUCAACAGUUCCUCAAAGUCUUAACUCUUUCCAGCAUUAACCCAAAAGUCUAAGCCCAAAGUCUCAUUUCAGACAAGACAAGUCCCUUCUGCCUGUGAGCCUGUAAAAUCAAAAGCAAGUUACUUCCUAGAUACAAUGGGGAUACAGGCAUUGAAUAAAUACAGCCAUUCCAAAUGGGAGAAAUGGGAGAAAUUGGCCAAAACAAAGGGGCUAGAGGCCCCAUACAAGUCCAAAAUCCAAUAGGGCAGUCAUUAAACCUUAAAGUUCCAAAAUAUAUCUCCUUUGACUUCAUGUCUCACAUCCAGGUCACAGUGAUGCAACAGGUGGGCUCCCAAAGCCUUGAGCACAUCUGCCCCUGUUUUCUUUUUUUUGUUUUGUUGAUCCUCUGUACUAUUUUUUGGACUGCAUUUUAUUUAGCACUGCUCUGAUCUUUGUAAUUUCUUUCCUUCUACUAAUGUUGCACUUGCUUUGUUCUUGUUUUUCCAAUUCCUUGAGGUAUGACAGGUUAUUAAUUUGUAAUUUUACUACACUUUUAUAUAAGCAUUUAAUGCUAUAAGUCCCUCUUACCACUGCUUUUGCUGUAUCCAACAGGCUUUGGUAUAUUGUGUUUCCAUUUUUAUUGGUUUUAUAAUUUUAAAAACAUCUCUGUCUUAAUUUUUUUCAUUGACCCAAUUCAGGAGCAUGUUGCCUAAUCUUUCAUGUAUUUGUUUAGUUUCCAAAGUUUCUCUUAGUAUUGACUUCUAGUUUCAUUCAACCGUGAUUGAAUAAAAUAUUAAGAACAUACUUUGAUAUUAUUUAAUAUUUUAAAAUUUGUUGAGACUUGUUUUGUGACCCAACACAUGGUCUAUCUUGGAGAAUGUUCCAUGUGCUGAUGAGAUG